AAAUGUGAUCUGGCUGCAACAUCUAUCACCCCAUCGAUCACCAGGGUUGAUUUGGCUGAUCUGGCUGGCUAGGCGGGUGUCCCCUUCCUCUCUCAACACUACGUGUGUCCCUCCCGAAGCUGCAUGCUUGGUUGAAGAGGACGACCUUCCCCGAUAGAGGAGGACUGGUCUUCAGUCAAGAGUAUACGAGUAGCUGCGCUCCCCUGCUAGAACCUCCAAACAAGCUCUCAAGAAUAAAUGUCACUUUUUAAGUUACUUAGUUGUUUGUUUUCAUU
rnacentral:snRNA from 1 species